CUUGUAUUUUAGAUGACAUUGCUUCAUUUGAAUGCCUAGAUUCCUCCUUCGUUUGGAUUAAAUUGCCUCUAUCUUGUAAGGAAGAGAAAGAUCUUUCAAAUUGCUCCUUGUUCUUCUCUGUUUAGUGUAUAAUAUAGUGGGCAACUGGGCAUGCACAUUUACAAAAUUUAUUUUAGAUUGCAGGUGAUUCUGAGAAGUUGAUAAAUGUGUUAUUUGAGCUUGCCAGAUGCCAUGCCCCCUCAACCAUAUUUCUUGAUGAAAUUGAUGCAAUCAUUAGCCAACGCGGUGAAGCACGCAGUGAACAUGAAGCAAGUAGACGACUAAGAACUGAACUACUCAUACAGUUAUUAUGCUAUUCAUGCUGCUGAACUCUCCUCAGAUGACACAUUAUUUUAUUGUAAGUAAGAAUUUAGCUAUUGUGGGUAAUCAAAAGGUUUCUGUAGCAUUUUGAUUUGGUAUCGAUUAGUAUCAUAACUAUGUGUAAGUAUGCUUGAAGUUACGGCUUGCAUUGUGCUUGCUGUUUUUGCAAUGGCUACAAGCCUCAGGAUGUACACAGCUUGUCAGCAUCUUCAAGCUCAGGCCAGGGCUCAUGCAGCAGCAACAACUGGAUUGCGUAGCCAUACCGAAUUAUGGCUUCAUGUGCCACCAUCCAUAGAGUUUGUUCUAUAUGAAUUUUCCAAAUAUAUGAAGAGAUUACAAGCAUAAAGGAUUUUUCUAUACACACUAAGUUUAAUGGUAAUAAUUAUACUUGAUUCUUAAAGUUGAACUAUACGCUAUGAGUUCUUAUUUUUUUAUGUAGAUUUCUUAUGAAGAGAGAAGAAUAGUAGUUGAUUUUGAUUUUA